rnacentral:rRNA from 1 species
UACGGGGGGGGCAAGCGUUGUUCGGAAUUACUGGGCGUAAAGGGCUCGUAGGCGGCCAACUAAGUCGGACGUGAAAUCCCUCAGCUUAACUGGGGAACUGCGUCUGAUACUGGAUGGCUUGAGUUUGGGAGAGGGAUGCGGAAUUCCAGGUGUAGCGGUGAAAUGCGUAGAUAUCUGGAGGAACACCGGUGGCGAAGGCGGCAUCCUGGACCAACACUGACGCUGAGGAGCGAAAGCCAGGGGAGCAAACGGG